rnacentral:rRNA from 1 species
UACGGGGGGGGCAAGCGUUGUUCGGAAUUACUGGGCGUAAAGGGCUCGUAGGCGGCCAACUAAGUCGGAUGUGAAAUCCCCAGGCUUAACCUGGGAACUGCAUUGGUGACUGGCAGGCUUUGAGUGUGGCAGAGGGAGGUAGAAUUCCACGUGUAGCAGUGAAAUGCGUAGAGAUGUGGAGGAAUACCGAUGGCGAAGGCAGCCUCCUGGGCCAACACUGACGCUCAUGCACGAAAGCGUGGGGAGCAAACAGG